CAUGUCCAAAUGGUUCUUUCCAUGAAGGAUGUGGUUGGUAACUGAUUUUCUUUUAUUUAUUUUCUAAAGUCGUUAUCGUUGCAUGAAAUCAGUGCAAAUAGAUUCCCUUGCAUAAUCAAAACCCUUCACCAUUUUAAUCACCUUGAAUAGGAAAUUGGCAACAAUACCUGCCUUGAAGAAGUUCUCCUCCUCUCUCCGGAUUCAAGGUAUGCCUGCCUUGAAGAAGUUCUCCUCCUCUCUCAGGAUUCAAGGAUCAGACUGCGCAUAGUAUUGGUUCCUGUGUUCGCCUGGGUAUUCUGAGAUGGUAAUCCAACAGUAAUCCUUUGACAAUAGAGCAGAGGGUCAUCAUAGUGUUGGAUAAAUACAAGUCUCCUCCUGUGAAAUGACUUUUAUAACAAAAGCUAAAUAUACUGGAAACACUCGAUGAAUCAGGCAGCAUUGAAUGUAAGAAAAACAAAGCUAAUGUUUCAGGUUGAAGACCCUUUGUCAGAACAUUUUCUGUUUUAUUUAAAAAUCUGUAAAUAUAUUAUCACAAACACUUUGUGUAAUGGGGGCUGGUGUCAUUACUUGUGCAUGAUAUAUAUUAUAAAUGUGGUACUAAUCCCUUUACAGUGAAUGGUUUAAUACUUUUGUUAAACUAAUGGUCAAAGGAACAUUGUGCAUCAAAUGUUCAUCUACUAUUGUCAAAAACAAAAGCAACGACCUUGUCAAAAGCUCUAUUUUUGCCCACUAAAAAAACAUCAGUACAUAGUGUAAUCAGUAAAUGCUCAGAAAAUGCUUACAACUAACUUUUAAGAAACAGGCCUGGUUUCUGUGCCUUCAGGAAGAUUUAACUCCCAUGCAAUAAACUCUGAUUAUGAAUACUC